GGUUUUCCGGAGGCUCUUGUUCA
rnacentral:siRNA from 1 species